AUGGGUCACUCGCCGAUCGCCGCUGGCGCCGGACGCGACCGCCUGAGCGACCUCGACGACGGCCUGAUCGGCCACAUCCUCUCCUUCCUCGACGCCAAGGAGGCCGCGCGCGCCGCGGCGCUCUCGUCGCGGUGGCGCGACGUCUACGCCAGCGUCCACACCGUCUCCCUGGAGCUGCCGGAACGGCCACUCCACGACGGCCUCACCGAUCUCACGUACAUCCUCAGAAUUUUGCGGCCCUUCGUCGCCGGCGUCACCGCCGCCCUCUUCGCCCGCGACCGCCGCGCGGCCCCCGCCGCGGCGUCGGUGCCCCUGCGCGCGCUCCGCGUCUGUAUGGAAGGCAGCGUAGACUACUCCACGGUGGGCUUGUGGGUCACCCACGCGCUGAGGCAUGCCGCCCCCGGCCUCGAGCUCGACCUCCGCCUCGGCCGUGACCCCGUCUGCUGGGGCAUCGACCGGAAACGCGUCCACCGCCGGCCUGCCGUUUCCCCAUAUCGGAACCACGCCGUCGGCGGGACGCCUCUUAACUUGGACCCCGUCGAUCCUUCCCUCCCCGCGGACGCCAACGAUGAAGAUGAUGCCGUCUCUAGCGAUGACGAGAUGCCUUCUGGAUUUGGUAAUCGGCUGUACAUCGGGGAACUCCCGAGGCCGCUAUUCUCCUGCGCGGCGCUGCGAUCGCUCCGCCUCGGCUCCUGCUGUCUCUCCACGCCGGAGGCCGUGAGCCUGCCGUCGCUGGAGGUGCUCCGCCUUACCCACGUCCGCGAUGAGGAGGAGCACGUGCAGAGGCUCAUCUCGGCCUGCCCGCUGCUCGCGGACCUGAUGGUCGAGGCCUGCGGCACGGUGACCGCGCUCUGCCUUCUCGACAACACGCGUCUCCGCAGGCUCGCCAUACGGUUCUGCGACAACCUGGCCACUGUAGCCAUCGGCGCAUCACAGCUCCUAUCCUUCGAGUAUCUCGGCGCCAUCCCUGAUAACUCGUUCCUCGCCGGAGGCAGUGGCGGCGGCUUUCCAGCCAUCACGUCGGGCAAGAUCGACACCUACGCUGCCUUUCCUGACGAACCGGAGGACCUCGUCAAGCUCAGUUCCUUCCUGCAGUUGUUCGUUGCCACAAAACAUCUCCACUUGUGCUCCACUCGGAUGGGCUCCUGUUUCGUGAACCUCCCUGAGUUCCCGAGCCUCACCCACCUCGAGCUCAAUGGACGCGUACUUCAAUGUGACGAUCCCGCCUUGGCCAUUGCCGUGACGUGCACAAUCCUCAGUCAGGCCCCUAACCUGGAGCUACUGACCCUGGUAUUCCAAGCAGCGCCUCAAGAUCAAGAGUCGCAGCAGUGCAACGGCCCCUACCGUGGCCGCAUCGAGGGGGAGCUCGUCGACGUGCACCUUCUCCACUACGACAAGUACGACACCAUUGACUAUGCGCUGCUGAUGGUUAACACGCCGGUCCCGCCCUGCCUCGUGAACCGAGUGAGCAAGAUCGAGUUGGUGCAUUACCAAGGCGGCAGAGCGCAGAGGGCGCUGGCCAAGUUCUUGCUCGGCAACGCUCCUGCGCUCAAGAUGCUCUAUUGUGGAUUUGCGGAGGGCCCGGAGUGGAUUCAGAUGCAAUUGAUGCGUGAGAUUCAAGGCUGGGUGAUCAAUGAGACAGCUAGCAAGGAGUUCCGUUGA
rnacentral:rRNA from 1 species